GGUGCGUUGGGAUGUGUGCAGUAAUCAGGCUGCCAGACUGAGAAAGGGAGGCACCGCUAGACCCCACGAGCAAGGGCCCUCCAUGUCCCGUCAGACCUAAAACCAACUUUCGGCCCAAGACCAGCGUCAUUUCUCCAGAGGACCUUGUCUGAGAAACCAUCUUCCUCCCUGCUCCCACCCCUUCCCAGCUUCCCGCACAGCCCUUGCCUCCUUCCUCCCAGGAGCUCAGGCCGUAGCCCUGGGCCCUCCCAUACCUGCCAUUCUCCCAGCCCCGUCUGUCCUUCAGCCAACCCCGCUGGCCCCACCUCCAUGGUGUGUUCAGAACCAGACGUCUCUAUCCCAAGUCCCAGCACCGCCCUCCCUCUCCUGGUGGCUGCAGCAGCACCUGCCCCAUGUCCCCCCGGCCCCCAACAGCCUCUGCUCGGGGCAGUGCUCACCCCGCGUCCUCGCACCCUCACACCUGGCCUCACCCACCCCAGCCACAGAUGUUUUCUGGGCCUCAGUCCUCCUCAUCCUCUGCUGCUCCUCCCAUGCGCCCAACACCCUGGGGCCCACUCUCUCCCCGCCUUCAGGUCUUGGCUGUGGGGACACUUCUCGGUGAGGCCCCACUUCCACCCCAUCCCUCAGGGCCCCACCCUGUGCCAGCCCAGUGGCCCUGCAGGAUCUUCAUCACAGCCCAGUACUUCCCUUCCUCUUUCGUUUUCUGUGUCUGUGCUGGAGCGGCCAUCCAGGGAGGCAGGCUUUGGUCUGUCUUGUUCACUGCGGUGGCCCAGUGCCCACACGCGCCUGUGCCCCACGGGAAGUAGCUAAGUACUGUUGGGAGUGAGUGUGGACACCUAGCACCCCACCCCCGGAAUCGGCCACACCUGUGUGCACAGCGCCCCUUCCCCACCCAGCAGCCUAUCCCUGCCUGAUCUGUCUCCCUCUGCCUCUCUUCCCCUCCAAGCUAUGAGCCCCUGUGGCCCCCACCCCAGGCCAGACACCCCAAAGGCCAUCUUCGAGUGUGGUCUGUGUGCGUGGAAUGAACAAAUGAGCAGGCUGAGCCCGUGCCCCGGGGGAUCAGUGCCUAUAGCAACCAGAACCAGCAGAGUCCCAGCCCCACCCACCUCACCCGGACAGCCCACGAAGGGGUGUGCCAACCGGGGUGCCACCAGGCCUGCCCUGACUCUCUUGACUGAAGUGGGCAACAACCCCUCCGUCUCCUCAGCCACACCCGGGCCCGGGGCACUCUUAAGCCCCCAUCUCUGCACCCCUGGGUGUGGUCACGCUGCUCCCCGGUCCACGCAGACAGCCAUUUGCAGAGACCCUCUCUGGAAGGAGAAGGGCUGGCCCAGAGCCCCAAGACCUGAACACCCCAGACCCCUCGCCCACACACAGCAGCCUCUGGAGAGAGCUCCCGCCCAGCCCGGGGCAUCCCUCUUCAGGUGGCCCUCUGGCGUCUUGGCAGCGGCUGCCCGGAGCUGCCUUUCCUGGGAACACCUAAGCCCUGUGGAACCGACUCUCCCCCCUGCUCCCGGGCUUCCCUGUCUGGGCAGGGCCCUGGGCUGCGGGGGCCGCCUCAGGAGGCCUUGGCAGCUGUGGUCUGGGGCUGUGGUGAGCAGGCUGGGGCCCCACUGGGGCCUGGCUGGGACGUGUGAGCAGCCUCUGGCCUGGCAGGUCCCCUCCUGCCUCAUGUGCUCAAGGCCCUGGGGAAUCAGCUCCUGACAACAUGAGAAGGGACAUCCUGCAGGUCAGUCACCCCAUUUUACAAGUGGGGAAACUGAGGCGGAGGAGGGGACCUGCUGGAGGCUGAACAGGAAGGAAGCAGCACUGUGAGGCUGAGAAGCCUGGCAACUGCCCAUAGACCAGGCCUCCUCUGCUGGGCCAGGCUACACCAGCCCCUGGAAGCCCUCUCAGUGCAACUGCUUUUAAUGCACAGAUCACUCAGUGAUUCCCAAACAGUGUCCCAUGGAACCCCACGAGAUAGGACAUGCCUGACCACAGAAGGGCUCAGGGGCCAGCGAGGACAGGAGAUGCCACGUGAGGCAUCAAGCCACGACAUGAAGCCAAACGGUGGCAUUUCAGGCUGGUAAGAGAAGUGGCGUUGGAACCAUAUAUCCUGGGGAGCCACCUCCGGCCAGGGCCCUGUGUUCCCUUCCCCACAUGCAGUACCCGCACACCCUCAUGCCCCCGGCCUUGCCCACCAGGCAGGCAUGGCUAGACGUGGGUUCAGUCUCCGUUCCGCCCUGUCUCAACCUGGGUGAGGCACCUGCUGACCCAGAGCCUGUUUCCCCACUUGUGUCUCAGGGGACUAAGACCCGCCCACCACCUCAGACUGUGUGUGGCUAUGAGCCAGUGAAAAACCCACAUGUCCUCAUGAGGCCUACCUCUCAGACCCUGGCCUCCCAGGGGCUGGCUGCACCUUGGCAGGUACCUGGGGCCCUGGGCCGUAGCGGCCUGUGCUUCUAGAAGCUGGGCAGGGCAGCUUGAGGCGAACCCUGGGAUGGAACUUGCAGCCACCCUGGCUGGGGACAGCUGGGACCACCCCUACUCCUGAGACACCACCAGCAAAUUGCAAAUUCCAACGGCAGCUGGAUUUUUCACCCGAUCUAUGCAAUCAAGUCACAGGACCUGCACGGCAACGCAUCUGAGACAAUGCGGUGUCACCUUCACGGAGCCGCUCUGGCAAAGAGACUCCAGCCUUGCCAGCCUCUCGCCUCCCAAGCACAGAAGCCUCCAGAACGCUGCUUCGAGGACAAGCCCAGGAGACCUGCCAUGCUCAUGCGUGUCUUUGGAAACAGGUUCUCUAAAUUUUGCUUGUGGUUUGUUAAAAAAAAAAAAAUCAGAAGUGUAAUCAAAGACUUCAACAAAUGAAGCACCAAAACACUUCAGCUUUGAAAUGUAGAAUUGCAAUGAUUGGAAACACGGCUUGCAAAGCAAAAGACAUUAAAAUUCAGUCAUCCCUACAGAAGCCAGA